rnacentral:rRNA from 1 species
AUUGAACGCUGGCGGCAGGCUUAACACAUGCAAGUCGAGCGGGGUGAUGGUGCUUGCACUAUCACUUAGCGGCGGACGGGUGAGUAAUGCUUAGGAAUCUGCCUAUUAGUGGGGGACAACAUCUCGAAAGGGAUGCUAAUACCGCAUACGUCCUACGGGAGAAAGCAGGGGAUCACUUGUGACCUUGCGCUAAUAGAUGAGCCUAAGUCGGAUUAGCUAGUUGGUGGGGUAAAGGCCUACCAAGGCGACGAUCUGUAGCGGGUCUGAGAGGAGGAUCCGCCACACUGGGACUGAGACACGGCCCAGACUCCUACGGGAGGCAGCAGUGGGGAAUAUUGGACAAUGGGGGGAACCCUGAUCCAGCCAUGCCGCGUGUGUGAAGAAGGCCUUAUGGUUGUAAAGCACUUUAAGCGAGGAGGAGGCUACUUUAGUUAAUACCUAGAGAUAGUGGACGUUACUCGCAGAAUAAGCACCGGCUAACUCCGUGCCAGCCGCCGCAGUAA